rnacentral:misc_RNA from 1 species
AUUUUAUCAGGGUCAUCAGAAUACUACUGUACUCAGUUUGGAUUUAUCAGGACAAACACAGAAUGUUACUGGAUUGUUGCAGGCACUGCAGGUGGAUCAACAAAGAGGAAGUAUUCCAUUGAAUCUCAGGGCAAAAGUUCCAGUGAAGCUCAAGAUUGGGAAUUUGAAGCUAAUGAAAUGGAACUUUUUGGUGAAGUGUAGUCUGGAU